AUGCCACGUCUACCGCCUCCUCCCUCCUCCCUCCUCCCUCCUCUACCGUCCAUGAUGGCACCACAAUGCCAUGGCAGACCGCGUCGGACAUGGUGGCGUGGCGCAGCGAACCUUGGUCCACGUCGGAGCUCGUCGAGGUCCAUGGGUACUCCCAGCGGGCCAAGGGUAUCGGCACCGGCGGACACCGGCUGGGUCUCCGUCUACCUGCAGAUCCGGGCUAGCCGCGCCAACGACAAUGGCUACACUGUCAUGGCGUGGUUCAGCAUCUGCUUGCUCGGCCAAGACAGGCGAGAGGUCAAUGACAUGGAGCCGAGAGUCUUCCAUGCCAUGCUCGAAUUCAUCUACACCACGGACGCACUGCCUGCCGACGUCGAUGACACGGUGGAGAUGGCCCAACACACCCCCUCGUGGCGGCCGACAUCGACCACCCUGACGCUGGCUGAGCAGCAUGGUUGCCGCGGGCUCAAGGAGGCGUGCAUGUACUACCUCGCGUCACCGGGCAACCUAGAGGCCGUCAUGGUGAGCGAUGGCUUUCCGCACCUAAUGGAGAGCUGCGCCGCCCUCCACAGGGCCAUCAUCGACCAGGCCGCCGUCUCUGGCUCCCACAUUCUUAAGAUAGUCGGCUACUCAGAGACCAAAAUGCUCGGUUACGGCAAUUGCAUCACGCUCACGGUGUUCGUGGUCGGAGGCCCGCGAUGGUGCUUGGAGUACGACCCCGAGGGCCAUAGCUUGGAACACGCCGGGUGGAUAUCCAUCUUUGUCAGGCUCCAUGGCCCGAUGCCAUUCGAGCCACUACCGCCAAAGGGGUGCUCCAAAAAAACUCUAGAAGUUGGAGUUGGGUGGAAAUUACCCACCACUGCCACCAGUAAGUGGAUACCCCUUCGUUUCUCCCCCCUCGACCAAUCAAAUAGAUCCUUUCCACCAAAUGUCUCAUUUUUUAAGCUGGAGCUAGAUGGAAGCCAAACAUUCUCUUUGAUAGUGCUACAACUUCUGGAUGAAACUGCUCCAAAGUAA
rnacentral:rRNA from 1 species